UGGGCGCAAGCCUGAUCCAGCAAUGCCGCGUGUGUGAAGAAGGCCUGCGGGUUGUAAAGCACUUUAAGCAGGGAGGAGGGGUACUGGCGUGAAUAGCGUUGGUAUUGACGUUACCUGCAGAAUAAGCACCGGCUAACUUCGUGCCAGCAGCCGCGGUAAUACGAAGGGUGCAAGCGUUAAUCGGAAUUACUGGGCGUAAAGCGCGUGUAGGCGGUUAUUUAAGUCAGAUGUGAAAGCCCCGGGCUCAACCUGGGAAUGGCAUUUGAUACUGGGUAACUGGAAUGUGGUAGAGGGAGGCGGAAUUUCCGGUGUAGCGGUGAAAUGCGUAGAUAUCGGAAAGAACACCAAUGGCGAAGGCAGCCUCCUGGGCCAACAUUGACGCUGAGACGCGAAAGCGUGGGGAGCAAACAGGAUUAGAUACCCUGGUAGUCCACGCCCUAAACGAUGAGAACUAGACGGUGGGGAGGUCACUCUUCGCUGUUGAAGCUAACGCGUUAAGU
rnacentral:rRNA from 1 species